AAGCUCGUAGUUGAAUUUCGGGCAUUGCAGUCCGGUCUUCCUUUAUUGGUUGCACUUGAUUUGCUUUGCCUUCUUUUCUAGAGAUCUUGCAUGCUUCGGUGUGUCUUGUUUUCUAGGACGUUUACUGUGAAUAAAUUAGAGUGUUCAAAGCAGGCUUACGCUUGAAUACAUUAGCAUGGAAUAAUAAAAUAGGACUUUGGUUUUAUUUUGUUGGUUUUAAAGACCAAGGUAAUGAUUAAUAGGGAUAGUUGGG
rnacentral:rRNA from 1 species